UAUUGGACAAUGGGCGCAAGCCUGAUCCAGCAAUGCCGCGUGAGUGAUGAAGGCCUUCGGGUCGUAAAGCUCUUUUACCAGGGAUGAUAAUGACAGUACCUGGAGAAUAAGCUCCGGCUAACUCCGUGCCAGCAGCCGCGGUAAUACGGAGGGAGCUAGCGUUGUUCGGAGUUACUGGGCGUAAAGCGCGCGUAGGCGGCUACUCAAGUCAGAGGUGAAAGCCCGGGGCUCAACCCCGGAACUGCCUUUGAAACUAGGUGGCUAGAAUCUUGGAGAGGUCAGUGGAAUUCCGAGUGUAGAGGUGAAAUUCGUAGAUAUUCGGAAGAACACCAGUGGCGAAGGCGACUGACUAGUCCAAGUAUUGACGCUGAGGUGCGA
rnacentral:rRNA from 1 species